GCUAGAAGAGGGAGAGAUGGUGAUUGAGGAAUGCAACAGAGAAAACUGACAGAAGAGAGUGAGCACAUGCAGGCACUGUUAUGUGUCUAUAACUUUGCGUGUGCGUGCUCACCUCUCUUUCUGUCAGUUGCCUAUCUCUGCCUGCUUGACCUCUCUCUCUCUCUCUCUCUCUCAAAUUUGGCU